UUCAAAUACUCGUUCUCAUACGAUCACCAAAGUUAGGCAACGUCGAGUCUUGUCGGUACUUAGGUGGGUGACCGCUUGGGAAUACUAGGCGCUGUAAG